rnacentral:lncRNA from 1 species
CUGGGAUGUGCACUUAUGGGAAGUGCAGAAAUACAAUCGGAAGCUUCAAAUGCCGUUGCAAUAGUGGCUUUGCUCUAGACAUGGAGGAAAGAAACUGCACGGACAUCGACGAGUGCAGGAUUUCUCCUGACCUCUGUGGCAGUGGAAUCUGCGUCAAUACACCAGGCAGCUUUGAGUGCGAGUGCUUCGAAGGCUAUGAAAGUGGCUUCAUGAUGAUGAAGAACUGCAUGGACAUUGACGAAUGUGAACGUAACCCUCUCCUUUGUAGGGGUGGCACCUGUGUGAACACUGAGGGCAGCUUUCAGUGUGACUGCCCACUGGGACACGAGCUGUCACCAUCCCGUGAGGACUGUGUGGGUG